GCCGGUGUGGCUCAGUGCAUAGAGCAUCGGCCUGCAGAGUAAAGGGUCCCUGGUUCAAUUCCAGUCAAGGGCA
rnacentral:tRNA from 1 species